AGAGUUUGAUCCUGGCUCAGGAUGAACGCUAGCGGCAGGCUUAACACAUGCAAGUCGAGGGGUAUUGUUCUUCGGAAUGAGAGACCGGCGCACGGGUGCGUAACGCGUAUGCAAUCUACCUUUUACAGAGGGAUAGCCCAGAGAAAUUUGGAUUAAUACCUCAUAGUAUUACACAAUGGCAUCAUUGAGUAAUUAAAGUCACAACGGUAAAAGAUGAGCAUGCGUCCCAUUAGCUAGUUGGUAAGGUAACGGCUUACCAAGGCGACGAUGGGUAGGGGUCCUGAGAGGGAGAUCCCCCACACUGGUACUGAGACACGGACCAGACUCCUACGGGAGGCAGCAGUGAGGAAUAUUGGUCAAUGGGCGCAAGCCUGAACCAGCCAUGCCGCGUGCAGGAUGACGGUCCUAUGGAUUGUAAACUGCUUUUGUACGGGAAGAAACAACGAUUCGUGAAUCGUCUUGACGGUACCGUAAGAAUAAGGAUCGGCUAACUCCGUGCCAGCAGCCGCGGUAAUUC
rnacentral:rRNA from 1 species